rnacentral:rRNA from 1 species
CGAGUGGCGAACGGGUGAGUAAUAUAUCGGAACGUACCCAAGAGUGGGGGAUAACGUAGCGAAAGUUACGCUAAUACCGCAUACGAUCUAAGGAUGAAAGUGGGGGCUCGCAAGACCUCAUGCUCCUGGAGCGGCCGAUAUCUGAUUAGCUAGUUGGUAGGGUAAAGGCCUACCAAGGCAUCGAUCAGUAGCUGGUCUGAGAGGACGACCAGCCACACUGGAACUGAGACACGGUCCAGACUCCUACGGGAGGCAGCAGUGGGGAAUUUUGGACAAUGGGGGCAACCCUGAUCCAGCAAUGCCGCGUGAGUGAAGAAGGCCUUCGGGUUGUAAAGCUCUUUUGUCAGGGAAGAAACGGGAGUGGCUAAUAUCUGCUUCUAAUGACGGUA